AUGGUGGCGGCUGUGUUUAUGAUCGUCCUUGCCAUUGGAGCGCCCAUGCGGCGUCAUUGUAAGAGCAUAGUUAUCAGAUAUGGAGUUGAGGGAGUGCUCUUACUGUCCUUUCCACUUCUCUCCUACACACUAGGAUUGAUGCAUCUUUCUGAUGCAGAGGCUGGGGAAAACCCCCUUUUCGAAGAAAAAAAAGGAUUGAUGCAGCAGCAGCUAAUCAAGAACGGACUUUUCCUAGUGUGGGCGAUGUUUCUGGCCAUGCUUUAUUUUGGGGGUACCAUGGCAAUAUCAGUCCAGAAGCUUGGUGAGAACAGCACGAUGAAGCUCAAAUGCGACAUUUUCUUGUCCAUGUUCUACAUGGGCAUUGUUUUAGGCAACUUUGCUUUUGCCGCUAAGGACCUUCUUGGGCGCAUUGGUUUAGUCAUGACCUUUAUUUUUGUGUGGACAUGGGCAACGAGAAUCGAUUACCACAUUGAUGCUGCAUCCUUAGCGAGCAAACCAACGGCAGAGAAUGGCAUCAAGUGGCUGGCCGACUACAUGAAGCGUGAGCACCAAACCAGCACGUCCUACAACCCCCGCACCAUGCAGGGAUACAAGUAUCCAGUUCUCAUACACAAUGCAACGGGAAAUAGCUAUUCUCCAGUAACACUUGAUAAAAUUUGGUGCGACAACAUCGGUGUCUUGUCAUCUUCCAACAGUCCUCAUAUCCGUCGCCUCAAAGAUCUAUGUCUCUCAUUUGCUCUGUUCCAUCUUGUGGUUCGGCGAUACUUCGGUUACAGCUGUCCUGAAUCUAAGCUUGACAAGUCUCGUGCUCUUGUUCUUGAUGGACUGCUGCAAACAGAACAAGACUAUGAAAGAGCAUUCCAAGUGAUUGAAGCAGAGCUUGCUUUUCUAUAUGACUUCUUCUUCACCAAGUAUGCUGCCAUUAUGUAUGGAAGUAAGAAGUACUAUUGUGCUACCUCAUUUGCCAUCACAGUUGUCUGUAUUGGUGUGGGUACAUGGGCUAUUAGUGUUUCCAACAAGCAAGUUUCUAUUUUGGAUGAUCUCUUGGUCGAAACCAGCACAUGUGACGUUGUGGUAACCGUAGCAGCCUUGGUUGCACUGUCACUAUUCGAGCUGUUGCAGAUAUGUUCUUAUUUUGCCUCCGACUGGUCAAAAGUAUCCUUGGUUUGUACGUAUGCAACAAAUCCAUCCUGGCAAAAAAAUGACCGAAUAAAGAAGGUUCUUUUGCUUCUAGGGAGACCUCACCGCUGGCUUCACUAUUGGCGCAACACCAUUGGCCAGUACUCAGUCCUUGAUUCCUUCAGCUCCAGUUCUUGGGAUCGGUUGAAGCAACGCUUUCAGAGUAGGAAGACCGGCAAUCCUGUAGAGUUGCAAAUGGAGGUGAAGAAGGCAGUCGCACGGGUUAUCAAGAACUCAAUCAACGGGCAUCUAUCAAAUGGAGCAUCGGCGUUGAUGAGACAUGGCAUGAGUGAUGAGCUAUGCUGGGCAUGUCAGACUGACGAUGAAUUUACUCUCACUCACAGCAUAUUGGUAUGGCAUGUCGCGACUGGCUACUGCGAGAUCGAAACAAUCGCAGGCCCCAAUGAAAAUGAUAUGCAUCCAAACCGAGGUGUCGCCACUAGCUUGUCCAAGUAUGUCGCAUACUUGGUAGCUUGUGCUCCGACGUUGCUACCAGGCCGUCUGAUAGUUUCAGAGUGUACGCUUGACGAGCUGGAGGCACAAGCAAAGAAAACUCUUCAAGGACUCGUAUCACCAAGGGAGAGGUAUGAAAAGCUUAGAGAACUGUACAAUGUCGUUGAUGAAGUUCCGUCAAGCGUAGCGGAUGCAACUGCUGCAACAGAGGCAACGUCCGCGCAUCUGUUGAGCAAGGGUGUCAGGCUAGGGAAGUUGUUGGAGAGCAUGGAGAAUCACAUGAUCCGUUGGGAACUAUUGGCCGAUUUCUGGGCAGAGAUGCUGGUGUAUAUCGCCCCGUCUGAUAAUGUGGCUGGUCACAUUGAACUUCUUGCUGAAGGUGGCGAGUUUGUGACCCACAUCUGGGUGCUGCUUAUGCAUGCUGGCAUCCUGGAGCGGCCUGCUACUGCAAUACCCUAG
rnacentral:rRNA from 1 species